AGGGAAAUAGAGCACGUUUAUCUUGCACGACGACUUGUAGAUGGCGGGUGGCUUCCAGUACACCUCGCCGGUGUACUUGACGGUUGCCUUGGUCAUGAGCGUCACCUCGUAGUUUCCGUCGGCGCUUUGGAGAAAUGGAGAGAGAAGACUAUGUCGGGGAGCCAGAUGUGUUCAGAUGGCACGUACAGUUCUUCAACUCCUCCAUAAUGGUCUGGGUUCCACCGUAGUUUGUAAUCGACCCAUUUCUGUUUCAAGGAUCAAAUGUUUGAUUAUUGCACUUGAAUAU